GACUUGGGCUUGGAGGACAGCUCCU
rnacentral:piRNA from 1 species